CGGGGAGGGACGGGAGUAGAGCAAGAGGGAGGCGGCGGAGGGGGUAGAAGAAGGAAGAGGGUCUAGGUGGGGAAAGGCAGGCGGCGUGUGGGUGGCGAAACUGCCAGAGAGCAAGGAGCUGGGUCAGGGAUGGAGGGGCCUGAGAGAGCAGGAAAGAGGUGGGUGUGGAUCACCGUUGAUAGGGAGGGGGAGGCGGGAUAGAAGUGCUACGUAGGCGUCGUACACAACGACUAGACAGCUCAAACUGCCGCCGUUGUCGAGCUAACUACUCUAGGCGUAGAACCCACGAGCGCCUAGGUCGAACCCGAGUUGGGGGCUACAACCGGAACAGCCUCGCCUCGCUAGCACGCCACCGGCCAGAUCCUGUUACCGAGCGCCCUCCGGCAUCACAUGGGAUCGGGGGCGACCUAAGGCCACACCGAGGGCGGGAAAGAUAACCGAAGGAGCUGUUGUAUCGGAGUUCUACGAGGAAGCUGGUGUCCAGUCGAAGUAAAAGGAUUCUACCAUCAGUAUUGUCUGCAAGCACCCGUCCCACCCUUCGGAUUCCGUACACACACCGGAGGGAGAAGUUAGCUAACGAAUUCGAACCGAUGACGGAAGAGGUUUAGAAUCCUUCAACACGCACGCACGACUGUACCACCGCCGUCGCCGAUACCUGCACAUAUGCUCACUCUACCAUGGGUCAUCUCUGUCUUCCGUGUACAAGCAGUUUUCCGACGUAACACGAUACACCCGAAGAUAGUUCUAGUUGAAAACAAAUUAAAAGAUGUUUCUAGAUUAAGUCAAAUCUAAAAAGACUGUCAAAGUACAUAUAAACAAGAGAUUUAGGUAUAUUAAUUCACAAGAUAUACGUAAGUCAAAUCAAAAGAUAGUUUUAUAUUAAGUCAUACUUAGUUACAUUAGUUCACCACUUAUUAAAGUAGUUUAUCCUAUGUACUAAAAACAAUAUGACAUAAUUAUACCACUGUACAAGAUUAAUCUCAAAAGAUAGUUUUAUAUUAAUUCAUACUUAGUUACAUUAGUUCACCACUUAUUAAAGUAGUUUAUCCUCUGUACUAAAGACAAUGACAUAAUUAUACCACUGUACAAGACAAAUCUCAAAAGAGGUAUGUGAAAACAGGUAUAACAGUUGACGUCGAACCACUUAUAUAUAUUGGUCUUAAUUCAAAUUAGACUUAGAUUCUUCUUUUUAUGUAGUCAUGUUACACCGUCAUGACGUCAAUAUUAUGUCUCCAAAUUUGGACAAGUAAACACAUGAUUCUUUUACAUCAUGACGAUGGUAAUCAACACGCGGAUGAUUAUGAUCUUGGUUACGGUACAAUCAAGUGAGAGGGAGUUGGACCUCCGUGUGUGGUUCGAUCGUGAACGGUCGUGUCACUGUGUGUAAAGAAGAAGUUGAGCACACGAGGGACGCAGGUUCGGUCCAACGGAAGGCGUUAUCAAAACGGCUCUUCCCAACUACAGAUGACAAACUAGGAUUUAGAAAAGGGACUACAAAAGGGGAAAAAUGCUAGUUAAUUGUGACAUUAGAGCGACUAGUACUAUAUACAAAAAAAACCUACAUCCAGAUCCACCACAACAUCUUCGGCACGGUGACGUACCGCGCGUUAUCUCGAGCUCUCCCGCCUACGCUAUUGACAAACACCUCGACGAGACACUAGUUGGUCCCCAAACAAGAGAUGAUCGUGAGGAUACUAAAGAGAUCAUAAAGGUAAGGGAUCGAGUUAACGACGACUUGACGUGGAUAAAUAAACUAGAUAAAGACUCAAUCCGUAAAAAGUGGUACCACACUAAAAGAUGAUUAAACAAACACGGGGAACCUAGAACACCACUUGAAGAGUACGUGAACUUAAUUUUCAUUGGGGUUGUACGUACAACAAUUCUCGUUAUUGACUAUGUAGGAUAGGUCAUAGAGAAGUCUCUUGGUAAACGGUGAAUCAAAAUAUCUAAAUAAUCACCGGUGUCGAAUAUCAAUAAAACGUACCGUAAACUUCAAAUGAACAGUUCGUUAACAACAAAUGAUGACAUUCGUGGACUGGCGGUCGGGGGCUACUGGCGGAGGCGGAGUUGGUAAGUACGGAUGAAUGUUCCGACCUUUUUAUUACAUAAUGAUCUGUGUUGAUAUCUUCAUACAUCUAGAACAAAAGAGUUGUGUAUUGAUAGGGAAGAAAAUAGAAUCAUUGAAUAGUAGUUCCUAGUGACCUGUAUACUAUUAACUUGCUUAGAACACGUGAUAACAUACAUAACAGGGGAAACAAUCUGGCAAAAAAAAAGAAAAAGAACAAACCUACUAUACGUGUUCAUACAUUUUAAAUUAAAAAAAUGGGUGUUGAACCAACAGAAUUAAUUAUACCUAGAUGUACUUUGAAUAUAUACAUCACCUAUGAUACAAUAAAAGCAAACAUCGUGACGUUCUAAAUUCUUAAAACCUCUCGUACCCAAUAAGUAAAAAUGAAACAAUGUUAAGAGAAUAAAAUGUUAGAUACGUAUAGAUGUUUAUAUAUUACCGGAACAUUUAUACGAUCCAUACUAACGCAUGGUCCGAUGAACCACGACGGGUACUUUUAAGCGUACUGUACUAUCAAAGGUAGUCCUGCCGGCUACCGUUCUUGAACUUAUUGUUGAAGUUAUCAAAUCUACAAGAUAAACACACUUGAUCUAACACGACAAAAGAUUGAAACGACUCACUAUAUAAAAUAAUUAGAUACAACAUUUAAUAGUAAAGCACCUCCUAAAACAUUUGACGAUACAAUAUCUACGAACGUCUACUAACGUAUAUAACUAAGU
rnacentral:rRNA from 1 species